rnacentral:tRNA from 1 species
GCGGGGGUUGCGGAGCCUGGAAAACGCGCAAGGUUCAGGACCUUGUGGCUUAGAGCCUUCGUGGGUUCAAAUCCCACCCCCCGCA